AACGAACGCUGGCGGCGUGCCUAACACAUGCAAGUCGAACGAGAAGUACGUAGCAAUACGUAUUGUAAAGUGGCGCACGGGUGAGUAACACGUGGGUAAUCUGCCCUUGAGUUUGGGAUAACCCCCGCGAAAGCGGGGGCUAAUACCGAAUAAGACCACGGGGACCAAAGUCUCCGAGGUAAAAGGUGGCCUCUAUUUAUAAGCUACCACUUGAGGAUGAGCCCGCGGCCCAUUAGCUAGUUGGCAGGGUAACGGCCUACCAAGGCGAUGAUGGGUAGCUGGUCUGAGAGGACGAUCAGCCACACUGGAACUGAGACACGGUCCAGACUCCUACGGGAGGCAGCAGUGGGGAAUAUUGCGCAAUGGGCGAAAGCCUGACGCAGCAACGCCGCGUGGGGGGAGUGAAGGUUUUCGGAUUGUAAACCCCUUUCGACCGGAACGGAAUCUCCUCUGGUAAUAAUCAGGAGGAUCGACGGUACCGGGAGAAGAAGCCAACGGCUAACUCUGUGCCAGCAGCCGCGGUAAU
rnacentral:rRNA from 1 species